CUUGGUCAGGUUGAAGUUCAGGUAACACUGAAUGGAGGACCGAACCGACUUACGUUGAAAAGUGAGCGGAUGAACUGAGGGUAGCGGAGAAAUUCCAAUCGAACCUGGAGAUAGCUGGUUCUCUCCGAAAUAGCUUUAGGGCUAGCCUCAAGUGAUGAUUAUUGGAGGUAGAGCACUGUUUGGACGAGGGGCCCCUCUCGGGUUACCGAAUUCAGACAAACUCCGAAUGCCAAUUAAUUUAACUUGGGAGUCAGAACAUGGGUGAUAAGGUCCGUGUUCGAAAGGGAAACAGCCCAGACCACCAGCUAAGGUCCCAAAAUAUAUGUUAAGUGGAAAAGGAUGUGGCGUUGCCCAGACAACUAGGAUGUUGGCUUAGAAGCAGCCAUCAUUUAAAGAGUGCGUAAUAGCUCACUAGUCGAGUGACACUGCGCCGAAAAUGUACCGGGGCUAAACAUAUUACCGAAGCUGUGGAUUGUCCUUUGGACAAUGGUAGGAGAGCGUUCUAAGGGCGUUGAAGCAUGAUCGUAAGGACAUGUGGAGCGCUUAGAAGUGAGAAUGCCGGUGUGAGUAGCGAAAGACGGGUGAGAAUCCCGUCCACCGAUUGACUAAGGUUUCCAGAGGAAGGCUCGUCCGCUCUGGGUUAGUCGGGUCCUAAGCUGAGGCCGACAGGCGUAGGCGAUGGAUAACAGGUUGAUAUUCCUGUACCACCUAUAAUCGUUUUAAUCGAUGGGGGGACGCAGUAGGAUAGGCGAAGCGUGCGAUUGGAUUGCACGUCUAAGCAGUAAGGCUGAGUAUUAGGCAAAUCCGGUACUCGUUAAGGCUGAGCUGUGAUGGGGAGAAGACAUUGAGUCUUCGAGUCGUUGAUUUCACACUGCCGAGAAAAGCCUCUAGAUAGAAAAUAGGUGCCCGUACCGCAAACCGACACAGGUAGUCAAGAUGAGAAUUCUAAGGUGAGCGAGCGAACUCUCGUUAAGGAACUCGGCAAAAUGACCCCGUAACUUCGGGAGAAGGGGUGCUCUUUAGGGUUAACGCCCAGAAGAGCCGCAGUGAAUAGGCCCAAGCGACUGUUUAUCAAAAACACAGGUCUCUGCUAAACCGUAAGGUGAUGUAUAGGGGCUGACGCCUGCCCGGUGCUGGAAGGUUAAGAGGAGUGGUUAGCUUCUGCGAAGCUACGAAUCGAAGCCCCAGUAAACGGCGGCCGUAACUAUAACGGUCCUAAGGUAGCGAAAUUCCUUGUCGGGUAAGUUCCGACCCGCACGAAAGGCGUAACGAUUUGGGCACUGUCUCAACGAGAGACUCGGUGAAAUCAUAGUACCUGUGAAGAUGCAGGUUACCCGCGACAGGACGGAAAGACCCCGUGGAGCUUUACUGUAGCCUGAUAUUGAAAUUCGGCACAGCUUGUACAGGAUAGGUAGGAGCCUUUGAAACGUGAGCGCUAGCUUACGUGGAGGCGCUGGUGGGAUACUACCCUAGCUGUGUUGGCUUUCUAACCCGCACCACUUAUCGUGGUGGGAGACAGUGUCAAGCGGGCAGUUUGACUGGGGCGGUCGCCUCCUAAAAGGUAACGGAGGCGCUCAAAGGUUCCCUCAGAAUGGUUGGAAAUCAUUCAUAGAGUGUAAAGGCAUAAGGGAGCUUGACUGCGAGACCUACAAGUCGAGCAGGGUCGAAAGACGGACUUAGUGAUCCGGUGGUUCCGCAUGGAAGGGCCAUCGCUCAACGGAUAAAAGCUACCCCGGGGAUAACAGGCUUAUCUCCCCCAAGAGUUCACAUCGACGGGGAGGUUUGGCACCUCGAUGUCGGCUCAUCGCAUCCUGGGGCUGUAGUCGGUCCCAAGGGUUGGGCUGUUCGCCCAUUAAAGCGGUACGCGAGCUGGGUUCAGAACGUCGUGAGACAGUUCGGUCCCUAUCCGUCGUGGGCGUAGGAAAUUUGAGAGGAGCUGUCCUUAGUACGAGAGGACCGGGAUGGACAUACCUCUGGUGUACCAGUUGUCGUGCCAACGGCAUAGCUGGGUAGCUAUGUGUGGACGGGAUAAGUGCUGAAAGCAUCUAAGCAUGAAGCCCCCCUCAAGAUGAGAUUUCCCAACUUCGGUUAUAAGAUCCCUCAAAGAUGAUGAGGUUAAUAGGUUCGAGGUGGAAGCAUGGUGACAUGUGGAGCUGACGAAUACUAAUCGAUCGAAGACUUAAUCAA
rnacentral:rRNA from 1 species